UACGAAGGGGGCUAGCGUUGCUCGGAAUUACUGGGCGUAAAGGGCGCGUAGGCGGAUAUCUAAGUUGGGGGUGAAAUCCCGGGGCUCAACCUCGGAAUUGCCUUCAAAACUGGGUAUCUUGAGUUCGGGAGAGGUGAGUGGAACUGCGAGUGUAGAGGUGAAAUUCGUAGAUAUUCGCAAGAACACCAGUGGCGAAGGCGGCUCACUGGCCCGGUACUGACGCUGAGGUGCGAAAGCUAGGGGAGCAAACAGGG
rnacentral:rRNA from 1 species